AAGUGUUUUUGGCUCGUAUAGCUCGUAUACUUAGAGUAGUUGAAAAUAAGCCAAUUUUCCUUGCACGUGCACA
rnacentral:tRNA from 1 species